rnacentral:tRNA from 1 species
GGACGUAUAGCUCAGUUGGUUAGAGCGUUCGCUUCACACGCGAGAGGUCAUGGGUUCGAGUCCCUUUACGUCCA